rnacentral:rRNA from 1 species
AGAGUUUGAUCCUGGCUCAGGACGAACGCUGGCGGCGUGCUUAACACAUGCAAGUCGAGCGAUGAAGCCCCUUCGGGAGUGGAUUAGCGGCGGACGGGUGAGUAACACGUGGGUAACCUGCCUCAAAGAGGGGGAUAGCCUCCCGAAAGGGAGAUUAAUACCGCAUAACAAGUAACUUCCGCAUGGAAGUAACUUUAAAGGAGAAAUCCGCUUUGAGAUGGACCCGCGGCGCAUUAGCUAGUUGGUAGGGUAACGGCCUACCAAGGCAACGAUGCGUAGCCGACCUGAGAGGGUGAUCGGCCACAUUGGAACUGAGAGACGGUCCAGACUCCUACGGGAGGCAGCAGUGGGGAAUAUUGCACAAUGGGCGAAAGCCUGAUGCAGCAACGCCGCGUGAGUGAAGAAGGUUUUCGGAUUGUAAAGCUCUGUCUUUGGGGACGAUAAUGACGGUACCCAAGGAGGAAGCCACGGCUAACUACGUGCCAGCAGCCGCGGUAAUACGUAGGUGGCAAGCGUUGUCCGGAAUUACUGGGCGUAAAGAGUGCGUAGGCGGAUAUUUAAGUGAGAUGUGAAAUACCCGGGCUUAACCCGGGCACUGCAUUUCAAACUGGAUAUCUAGAGUGCAGGAGAGGAGAACGGAAUUCCUAGUGUAGCGGUGAAAUGCGUAGAUAUUAGGAAGAACACCAGUGGCGAAGGCGGUUCUCUGGACUGUAACUGACGCUGAGGCACGAAAGCGUGGGUAGCAAACAGGAUUAGAUACCCUGGUAGUCCACGCCGUAAACGAUGAGUACUAGGUGUAGGAGGUAUCGACCCCUUCUGUGCCGCAGUAAACACAAUAAGUACUCCGCCUGGGAAGUACGAUCGCAAGAUUAAAACUCAAAGGAAUUGACGGGGGCCCGCACAAGCAGCGGAGCAUGUGGUUUAAUUCGAAGCAACGCGAAGAACCUUA